CUAAAUUUUUGACUCUACGUCUUAUUCAAAUUUUUUUGCAAUUGAUAUUUUUGUUUUUAUUAGAUGAUAAAUCAUAAAUAGUACUCUACGUGUGACUAAUUUUUUUAAAAUUUUUUAAAAAAUUUUCAAAUAAGAUGAAUGAUCAAACAUUGUGCACGAAAACC
rnacentral:pre_miRNA from 1 species